ensembl:lncRNA
GUCUUCAUUUGAUACAGUGUUUGUUCUGGAUCUUAUAUAAACAAUGGAUUAAAAAACAAACAAACAUAUGUUUGCUGCAGAGAACAGCGCUCUCUGUUGGUCUUCAAGCCUCAUGCACCAUCCCCUCGCAUCCCCCACCAAACUCACACGUGCAUGUGCACGCUCCUAUCUACAACACGGAAAAAAGGACAGGGAAACAAGGUGGGAUAUGCAAUCUACCUUGUGGUGGCGGCACACACACACACACACACACACACACACACACACACACACUCUAGCACAAGCAAAUAUGGUGACGACAGACUGCUGUGCUAUUUUUGGAGGAAGUCAAUCUACCCGUGACUUCAGCAUUUUAAUAUGGCAGAAAUUCAGAAUACUUAAUACACCAACAGAUAUUUCAAAAAUGCUGAGAAAGAAUUGUAUUUCUGUAUUUCUAAUGCAUCAGUGUGGGGAAAAAGACAGAGGGAGACAGAGAACAGCAUAGAACAGAGUGUCAAAUGUCACUGAGAUUAAUUGGAACUGCCAUUGCAGCAAUUUAAGGCUUGACCUUGAAGUCAGGAGAUGAUGGGUUGGUCACGUUACCAAAGCAACAAUAAGCAACAAGAGAGGAUUUCAUUUUACCCAUUUAACCUUUCAUGGGAAAAAGAUAACAGAGCACAACAGUGACAACUUCAUAUAGUGCCAGGCUCAGUAAUUACAAUUUAAAGUACUUGAGAACCCUGCAUACACAUUACCUGAGGGAUUUUAUUAUGACCAAUCACUCCUCCAAAGGCUAAACUGACUUCAAUUAAAUCAAUUAAUUCAAAUAAACAUUGGUCAGACAUCAGUUUUCCUACAAUUAUAUAUUUGCCAUUUAUUUUAUUCUUACCUAGGCCUAUUACAAAAUUUGUUCUGUAAAAUCUUUUAAUAAUUUAUAUUAUCAAUAUAAUUUUUUUUAUUUUAUUUUUUUACGUAUUUUCCAGACUAUAAGUCACACUUUUUUUCAUAGUUUGGCUGGUCCUGCGACUUAUAGUCAGGUGCGACUUAUUUAUCAAAAUUAAUUUGACAUGAACGAGAGAAAUGAACCAAUAGAAAACAUUACCGUCUCCAGCCGCGAGAGGGCGCUUUAUGCUGCUCAGUGCUCCUGUAGUCUACACUGAAGACAUAGAGCGCCUCUCGUGGCUGGAGACAGUAAUGUUUUCUCUUGGUUCUAAAUAAAUGCGAUUUAUAGUCCAGUGCAACUUAUAGUCUGAAAAAUACGGUUCUUAUAUUUCAUUAGACCAAAAAAGUAAGCUACUAGAUUGUGUACCUACAAAAUGCUGGGUUGUUUCAACCCAACUUUGGGUCAGAUAUGGACAAAGUAACCCCACUUUUGGGUUAAAACAUUUUAUUAAUAAAUUUAACAGCUUGAAACAACCCAGCAUUUUUUAGAGCGUAUGUUUUCGUACUUGUUAAUGAACUAACUCAUCCUAGCACUACAAAUGACAAAUGAAUCAUAAAUGAUAAUGCAAUAUAAAACUAAGUCAUUUAUUGUCAGUAUACUAUUCAAAUAACUAUUGUUUGAGAGCAUAAGGACUUCAUUAUAUCAUUGACAAUGCCUUAUGGAGUGGAAGUUAAUUCCCAAUUCCUGUUUGGGCAUUUAGUGGGUAGUGUAGUUCUUUAAUUAGUUCUUCAGUGGGUUGUGUAGUUAUUUUUAUAUUUAUUUAUUGUAAAAAUUAAGUUGGAAUCACUGACUGUUGGCUUCUACAGAAUCACUGUCACUUCACAAGGCAUUUCCUGGUAUGUCUGUGCUGAGAGUUUUAACUUUUAAUUUCUAAAAAUCGAUUUCUCGCGCACACACACUAGAUCUAAAACCACGCGUCUAUAACACUUAAUAUGACUAUGCCUUUUAUGGCACUUUACUGUCUGCU